rnacentral:rRNA from 1 species
AUUGAACGCUGGCGGCAUGCCUUACACAUGCAAGUCGAACGGCAGCACGGGAGCAAUCCUGGUGGCGAGUGGCGAACGGGUGAGUAAUAUAUCGGAACGUGCCCGGUCGUGGGGGAUAACGUAGCGAAAGCUACGCUAAUACCGCAUACGAUCUACGGAUGAAAGCGGGGGAUCGCAAGACCUCGCGCGAUUGGAGCGGCCGAUAUCAGAUUAGGUAGUUGGUGAGGUAAAGGCUCACCAAGCCGACGAUCUGUAGCUGGUCUGAGAGGACGACCAGCCACACUGGGACUGAGACACGGCCCAGACUCCUACGGGAGGCAGCAGUGGGGAAUUUUGGACAAUGGGCGCAAGCCUGAUCCAGCAAUGCCGCGUGCAGGAUGAAGGCCU